CAGCCGCCGCGGUAAUACGGAGGGUGCAAGCGUUAUCCGGAUUUAUUGGGUUUAAAGGGUCCGUAGGCGGAUCUGUAAGUCAGUGGUGAAAUCUCACAGCUUAACUGUGAAACUGUUAUUGAUACUGCAGGUCUUGAGUAAAUUUGAAGUGGCUGGAAUAAGUAGUGUAGCGGUGAAAUGCAUAGAUAUUACUUAGAACACCAAUUGCGAAGGCAGGUCACUAAGAUUUAACUGACGCUGAUGGACGAAAGCGUGGGGAGCGAACAGGAUUAGAUACCCCCGGUAGUCCCUGUCUCUUAUA
rnacentral:rRNA from 1 species